rnacentral:rRNA from 1 species
CCAGCUCCAAUAGCGUAUAUUAAAGUUGUUGCCGUUAAAAAGCUCGUAGUUGGAUCUCGGGUCCAGGCUUGCGGUUCGCCUCGCGGCGAUUACUGCUCGUCCUGACCUACCUCCCGGUUUUCCCUUGGUGCUCUUCGUUGAGUGCUUCGGGUGGCCGGAACGUUUACCUUGAAAAAAUUAGAGUGCUCAACGCAGGCGGACUGCCUGAAUAAUCGCGCAUGGAAUAAUGGAAUAGGACCUCGGUUCUAUUUUGUUGGUUUUCGGAACUCGAGGUAAUGAUUAAGAGGGACAGACGUGGGCAUUCGUAUUACGGUGUUAGAGGUGAAAUUCUUGGAUCGCCGUAAGACGAACUACUGCGAAAGCAUUUGCCAAGAAUGUUUUCAUUAAUCAAGAACGAAAGUCAGAGGUUCGAAGACGAUCAGAUACCGUCGUAGUUCUGACCAUAAACGAUGCCAACUGGCGAUCCGCGGGCGUUGAUUAUAUGACCCCGCGGGCAGCCUCCGGGAAACCAAAGUUUUUGGGUUCCGGGGGAAGUAUGGUUGCAAAGCUGAAACUUAAAGGAAUUGACGGAAGGGCACCACCAGGAGUGGAGCCUGCGGCUUAAUUCGACUCAAC